rnacentral:rRNA from 1 species
GACGAACGCUGGCGGCAUGCCUAAUACAUGCAAGUAGAACGCUGCAGGCGGAGCUUGCUUCUCUGGAUGAGUUGCGAAGUGGUAAGUAACGCGUAGGUAACCUACCUCUUAGCGGGGGAGAACGAUUGGAAACGUUAGCUAAUACCGCAUAAGAGUAAAUGUUGCAUGACGUUUGCGUGUAAGGUGCAAUUGUAUCACUAGCAAAUGGCCCUGAGUUGUAUUAGCUAGUGGGUGGGGUAACGGCGCAUCAACGCGACGAUACCUAGCAGACCUGCGAGGGUGAUCGGCCACACCUGGACUGAGACACGGCCCAGACUCCUAGGGGCUGCAGCAGUAGGGAAUCUUCGGCAAUGGACGGAAGUCGGACCGAGCGACGCCGCGUGAGAGACGAAGGUUUUCGGAUCGUAAAGCUGUGUUGUGAGAGAAGAAUGAGUGGGUGUGUGGAAAGUGCACACAGUGACGGUACCUUACCAGAAAGCGACGGCUAACUCCGUG